rnacentral:lncRNA from 1 species
AGCAAGGGAGACCAAACAAUUCCUUGGUGUAGUGGUGAUGCUGCCAAUAGUCUGUCCACCAUUUUUUCUUCAAACCAUUUUUCCUGGCAUCCAAAGGCAACUCUCUCUCCAGUAAUCAGGAACACCUCAGUCUGCAGCUCACACCCGACAGAGCUGCAGACAGGAUGCUGUGUAGGCGCUCUCCUCCCAGGUAAGGACUGACUGGAGGGGCCUGGCAUAAUGGGCAAGCCAUCAGGCCCCCUGUCAUAGACUGAAGACCCGACAUGUCAGUCUGCCCUAAGGCGACUUAGGCAGCCGCAAGGCCCCUGACAGCGCGAGGCCUUAGGCGGCUGCCUAAAUCGCCUAAUUAGAGAACCGCCUCACCAAUAGAGAUAUUGUGAAAAUAUAUGUUUUGCUUUAUCAAGCAGGAUGGAGGUGGGGUGAGCUAUAGGUGCUGGAGAGAGCCCAAACUGUUAUCAUAUAGCUCAAAAACAUUUCAACAAAGAAACAAAAAAAAACACACUACACUUAGCUGCAGAAGUUGUGUUGCUUAUAGUGUGAAAUUUAGUGGGGGGGGUUUAAUGUCGGAAUAAAGCAACCAUAAAGCAGCAACAUUGAGAGUGCACGGAAGAUAAAGAUGGAGGUGCUUAAAUGCCCACCUUAUAAAUAAUCAGUAUUUUACUCAUAAUUUAUAAGUAUAUGAAUAGUUAUUAGUCAUUAAAACAUUAUAUAAUUCAGUUUCAAUAGUAAACAGGUGCCCUGCUAUAGCAAGAGCUCUGGUCCCCAAAUUCAACCUGCAUUACAGCGUGUGAAUAGUAAUGUCUAAAGACAGCAUAGCAGUGGAGUACAUAAAUCAGUAGUGCUAUUGCAUUGUCUUUUAUUUAAAUAUACUUUUAAUGUAGCGAAUGCAUUUUUUUGUGUUUCUCUCAUAUACAACGUGUAGGUACUAACUUUUUGUGAGAUGGCAUCAUAAUUCCUCAUGUUGUGGUUCUGUAAUGUCCAAAGUGGUCACCACUAAUGGAAGAUGCUGCGUGAAAAUAUAUGCUGGGUUUCUCACUAAACUAGGAAUUGUUAAAUGUUAAAGAAGGAAUUGCUAAUUGCAAAAUAGCUGAAAUGGAAAAAAUCUCCAUCUUGCAUAGUUAUUUGUUAAUUUUCUUUUUAAAAUUCUCCACAGUUCUUGGUGAAAGUCAGUUACCGAGACUCAGCACUCCAUGUAAAGUAGACCAGCUCUUUUGCGAGUCAAAAAAAAGUGUUAAUCUCGAUCAUAUUGAUCUGAUUCCUCUCUAUAUAUUCUGAAAAAUCUAUAAACUGAUUUUAAAACAAGAAGUGUUAAACAAAUAUGUUAAUCUUUGGUGCUAAUAGAGAAUACAGCAAUAUCUGCUCUUGCGUUAUUUUUCUACUAAGUACAGAUUGUGAAACACACUGUUCCUUUAACAUUAGUUGUAGAAGACAGGGCUGUCCUUGACGUUGCUGUUCCUACAGCUUCAUACUAUAGGCGGCCUCUUCAGUUAUUUAUGCAGUGUGUUUGGCCCUGAACCUUCUGUAAUAAAACUUCUCAAAGAAAAAGGAAAAGUGGUACAAAGCAGUUAACCCUGACUGCAUUAAAAUGGACGCAUGUCUAUUUAAAUUAACUUUUAAAGUGUGUGAGUUUUUAGUUCCUCGAUAUGUGGUUUCUGAUUAUUUUUCUUGAUUUAUUUUCUAUUACUAAAUUCACUCUGUUAUAAAAUAAAAAAUACAUGUAUUUUCAUGCCAACUACUGGCACCUUCUACCUUCCAUAAAUAAACCAGUAAUGCUUAUUCCACAUAAUAACGGAAAAUGUAAGCAUUACUGUUAGUAUCAAAGGCCAAAGUGCCCACCCAACUACUGCCAUUGAUGGGUUCGUGGUUUCCAAUUUUCUGGACAUCAUCUCUACUCCACCUCACUUUUAACCAUUCCUGUUAACAUUCCCUGCCCACCUUCUUGGACUGAGAUGAACAUGGAAGAGAGCAUGUGUGCAUGGGAUGGGUCUGCUUAUGAAAGGAGCAGGCCCACCUCUAAAGAGGAUGCCUCCUCAAGCAACCAAUCUGCUGCAGUGCUUUGUGCAUUGUUCUAGCGUCCAGUUCACUCCUACAUUUUGAAGUCUGACAGCAGAUUUCAAAAUCCUGUACAGAUCUCUGGGACCUAUAUUUGCUGGGACAGUAAUCUAAAAUGUGGGCCUGUCCAGGCACCCAUGUUUUAUCUAUCACAAAAAAAUAAUUUCUUACUUGAGCGGCUGUCAUAGCAUACUUACCUUUCCUCAAUCAAUAAUUUUUUUCCCAUCUCUCAUUACAGUCUUUUCUUUUAUUCUCCCUUAAAUACAUAAGGCAAAAUAGAGGUUACAUUGCUUUAUGUGUUUUUCCUUCGAUUGAAAAACUUGACAAAGGGUGGAGCUUAAAGGACAACUCUAGGCACCCAGACCACUUCAGCUUAAUGAAGUGGUCUGGGUGCCAGGUCCAGCUAGGGUUAACCCAUUUUUUAAUAAACAUAGCAGUUUCAGAGAAACUGCUAUGUUUAUUAAUGGGUUAAGCCUUCCCCCUAAUCCUCUAGUGGCUGUCUCAUUGACAGCCGCUAGAGGCGCGUGCGUGAUUCUCACUGUGAUUUUCACAGUGAGAGCACGCCAGCGUCCAUAGGAAAGCAUUGUAAAUGCUUUCCUUUGCGACCGGCUGAAUGUGCGCGCAGCUCUUGCCGCGCGUGCACAUUCAGCCGACGGGGCGGAUCGGAGGAGGAGAGAAGGAGGAGAGCUCCCCGCCCAGCGCUGGAAAAAGGUAAGUUUAAACCCCUUUCCCCUUUCCAGAGCCGGGCGGGAGGGUAUCCAUGAGGGUGGGGGCACCCUCAGGGCACUAUAGUGCCAGGAAAACGAGUAUGUUUUCCUGGCACUAUAGUGGUCCUUUAAAUGGACACGCCAGGGCAGUCUUUAAUGAAAGGUCAAACGGGGCAGCUGCCUGCAACAGUUUCUUUUAAGAUUAAUCUGCAGCAAAACUACCGAGGGUUCAGCCAGUGUGCUGCAGUUGGGCUCACACACUAGAGGGCCCAUUGGGUGGCCAAUGCAUUUAGUGCCACCUAAUGGGUAUCGCUUAACAGGGGCUUUGUCGGGCACCACAGCCCUUUAAGAGCGCAGGAGAGUGGCUGCAAAUAUCAAAAUUAUGACAUGUAUGUAUAUGUGGAUGUGCAAGCGUGUGUAGCUGUGUGUCAGUGUGUGUAUCUGCAUUUCAAUGUGUGUGUAUCCGAGUGUGUGUGUAUCUAGGUGUGUAUAUGUGCCAGUGUGUAUCUGUGUGUGUGUAUUUGUGUCUCAAGCUGUGUGUAUGUAUCAAGUUAUGUGUAUGUGUCACUGUGUUUAUAUGCGUGUAUCUGUGUGUUAAUGUGUAUGUUUAUCUGCAUCAGUGUAUAUAUGCAUACAUCCAAGCAAUCAAACACAACAUGCAAACACACCCAUGCAAACACAAACAUUACAUGCAAGUACAUCCCUGAAUUCAAACUUCAAAGUGAUACAAACAUUACAUUUUUACUCAAACACCAAUGCUACUACUCCAAACACCAAUGCUACACUCAAAUGUACAUCCGCAUUUAGAAUAUAACACUGCAUCUAAACACACUCCUACAUGCAAAGAUUACAUACAAACACACCCCUGUGUUAAAACACUAAAAUUAUAUCCAAACAGCAACUCUCAAGGCUGGACUGGGGAUACAAAGCAGCCCUGGAAAAAAAAAUCUAUGCCAGCCACAUAAGUCAUUGCGCCAUAUAUUGUCGCAUGUAAUAUGUAAGGCAAUGUCUUGCCACCCCAGAUGAUUGAGUAAUAUAUAUAUAUAUAUAUAUAUAUAUAUAUAUAUAUAUAUAUACAGAAUGCUCCUGCACUCACGCUUAAAUCUCCCUUGGUGCCCGGGUGCAAGCAAAAAAUAGCUGUCUAUCCAUUCAUCCAAGUAGGUAGCUGCACUCACGGAUAAUAAAAGUCCAAAGUUUAUUGAAAAAUGGUUAAAAAAACAGCGAUCAACAUUUCAGUCCUCUAAGGACUUUCAUCAGGAUCAAAUAAAAACAUUUAACAAACAUGAUGAUGUUUAGAGGACUGAAACGUUGAUCGCUGGUUUUUUAACCAUUUUUCAAUAAACUUUGGACUUUUAUUAUCCGUGAGUGCAGCUACCUACUUGGAUGAAUAUAUAUAUAUAUAUAUAUAUAUAUAUAUAAUAUAUCUCAAAUAUAUAUUGCUUUUUCUUAUAUAAAAUAUCGGUCCUAGACAUAGACAAUCUCACUGACACAGACAAGCUCAUUGAUACACAGCCUCAUAAACAAACAAUCUCACUGAUAUACAUAAGCUCACUCACAAGCAGGCACACACACACACACAAACUCACUCACUAUCAGGCGCGCACACACACAGCUUAAUGUAGUGGUUCUGGUGUCUAUAGCCUGUCCCUGCAGGCUUUUCAAUGUAAACACUGACUUUUCAGAGAAAUGGCCGUGUUUACAUUGCUUCCUAGUGACAGUCACUCAGACGGUCACUGGAGGUGCUUCCUGUGUCAGUGUUGCACAGUGUGCAGCACCUACGUUCAGGGCCACCACGCUCUGCAGGCGCUGAACGUCACCCAUAGAGAUACAUUGAUUCAACGCAUCUCAACGCAUCUCUGUGAGGAGAUGCUGAUUGGUGUAGCGUUUUGCAGCCAAUCCCAUGGCAGAGCAUUGGAUUGGCUGAGAUCAUCAAGCUUGAUGAUCUCAGCCAUAGAGGCAGGGCCAGUCGAGGGGAGACCUGCACGGCGUGGAAAAAAACACACAGACACACACAUAAACCAUGACAGACACAGACACACACAUCCACCAUGACAGACACACAACCCCCAUGACACACACACACCAUGACACAGACAGACACACACACACACCUUGACAGGCACACACACCAUGACACAGAAAGACCAUGACACAGAAAGACCAUGACACAGACAUUCACACACCAUGGCACAGACAGACACACCAUGACACAGACAGACAAUGAAACAGACAUACAGACAUACACACACCAUGACACAGACACACACACCAUGACAGACAGACACACACAAUAUACACUCACACUGACAGAAUGACACAUAUUAACUGUGGGCGACCGGCAAGGGAGUUGUGCAGGGCAGAGAGCUGAGUGUGCUAAAUCUGUUAAAUUGUACACUCUAAGAUUCUCAGUGAAUAGUGUCUGGAAAUGUAGUUUGGAAUCUAUGCACUAAUGCAAAAUUACUCCCAACACCCUUAAACGGUAAGGAAUGUUCUAUGGAACCCCUUUUAUCUCACAUUGACUAUGUAAAAGACUUGUUAGAUUAUCAACAAAAAUUCUAAAGUGGCUUUUAAAAUUAGUUGUUGUUUUUUACUGUCUCUCUCAGAACACUUUUAACUGAAUAAAUGGUUAGCUGAAUUACCUCUACAUGUGUAGAGAGCAACCCUGUGGUGCCUAUCCAGAAGCAGGGGAAGCUCUGAUGGUGGCCGCUGGGGGAGCUGUGCUGUGUUUGCUCCCCUGCCCUCGCGCGCAGCUUAAUGAGAGCGGGACCGGAAUAUGACGUCAUGUUCCGGCCCGGUCUCAUUAAGUAGUGCGCGAGGGCGGGGGAGCAAAGACAGCACAGCUUCCCCAGCGGCCACCAUCAGAGCUCCCCCAGCGGCCGCCAGCACACCCAGGUGCCUGCCCGGCCCCAUAGGUGCCGACGGCCCACCGGGAAAUUUCCUGGUAUCCUGGUGGGCCAGUCCGGCCCUGCCAACUCUACAUACAAAAGCAGCCUGCAUUUAAAAGCCAGUACUACAAAAGCCAGGGAGGGGGAAGGAGAGGGGGGGACAAGCAAAUGCUUGCCCAGGAUCCAAUCAAAGAAAGCCCUGAGACACUCUGGAGCCCUAAAGCACUUUAAUAUGCUGAAAAGCUUAUUUUUACUUUGCAAAAAGUGCAGAUUUCAAUUGAAAUUGACUCUUUUAAAAACUGCUGGAUAUUUAUGAAUAGAAAAAUGGGAUACAGCUGUACAACCUAAAAAAUAAAAUAAAAAAUACAUAGUGUAAUAUAAGUAUGUAUGUCAAGUAGACACAUAAUCUAUUCCACUCACAAGAUGUAAUCUGUAAGAUCGCCUUAGAGGUGCCGCCCCCGAUGGCAGUGGGGGGCUAAAAGCAGCCUUCAAUCUUCCCGGUAGUGUACAAUAUCCAGGACCAGAAGGAACAGAAGCAGGAAUCAAAUAAAAGUACAAAUUCUUUUAUUGGCUAUUAUAAUAAAUAAAAUAAAAUAAAGUAAUAGGCCCAGUCCUACGCGUCUCGUUCUAAAAGAACUUCCUCAAGGACCUCUGGAUUGUAAAACAAACAAAUAGUAUGCAGUUAAAAUGCCGCCUGAUUCCUACCCUCCAAAAGUUCCCUAUUUAUAAGGACCUGUAGUCCUGGUGAUUAGUCGAUCAUUUUGUUGGUGCUUCUCCGGGAUCCGAAACAGCUGUUUUCAAUUUGAUCGUGCGGCGUCUCUGUGCCACUUGCGUUCCAUUUGUUACUUACGUGCGUUCCAAUGACGUAAUUUCCUCUUCAGAUUCCAUAUACUGCCGCACAUGCGCUUUGUUGAUAAUGUCCAUAGACCCCAUAUCGGAUCUUGGAAAAGUUCCCCGUAAGAAAACGACCUUACGUUUUUAAAAAAAGAACACUAUAACGAAAAUUAGAAACACAAUUUUCUACAGAUUGAAGUAUAUGAUCAACAUUAUUCUAAAUUAGAAAAUAUGUAUAUAUAUGUAUAUCAUUAACACUUAAAAAAAAUAGGAAAUGCAAUAUAAUAAAUAUAACACUAUAAAUUGCAAAUUAAUAAAGUGCAGUUAUAUUAUUCAGAAUGUAUCUGCCCAACAUUAAAGCCAUUAUAAUUAAAGAAUAUUCCAUAUAUCUUAUUCAUCAUCAAAAAUUCUUUCAAUUAGUUAAAAGAAAAGGGAAAAACUUGAAAAAUCUUGUAAAAUACAUACCAAGUCAAUCUCCACAUUUAACCCCCUAGGUUCCAGUAUUUGUAAUUUAUAUAUACAGUAUGUUUCCCGCUGUGAUUCUUUAAUUCUAUCUCUUCCCUCGAGUUUGGGAGAACCUGUUCGAUACCAAAACAUCUGAAUUGUUUAAAAUUAAACGCUGGGCAUAGUUACAUAGUUACAUAGCUGAAAAGAGACUUGCGUCCAUCAAGUUCAGCCUUCCUCACAUAUGUUUUUGCUGUUGAUCCAAAAUGAAGGCAAAAAACCUAGUCUGAAGCGCUUCCAAUUUUGCAACAAACUAGGAAAAAAUUCAAUCUUGACCCCAAAAUAGCAGGUAGAUGUCUCCUUGGAUCAAGCAGCUAUUACCCCACUAAUUAGAAAUGAUAUCCCUGUAUGUUAUGUUUUUGCAAGUAUUUAUCCAAUUGCAGUUUAAACAUCUGUAUGGACUCUGACAAAACCACCUCUUCAGGCAGAGAAUUCCAUAUCCUUAUUGCUCUUACUGUAAAAAAAGUUUAUUUUCCUUAGAUGAAAUCUCCUUUAUUCCAGCCUAAAUGUGUGACCUCGUGUCCAAUGUAUAGCCCUGUUUAUGAAUAGAUUUCCAGAUAAAGGUUUGUACUGGCCCCGAAUAUAUUUGUAUAAUGUUAUCAUAUCCCCUCUCAGGCGCCGUUUUUCCAAACUAAACAGAUUUAAUUUUUUAACCUUUCUUCGUAACUAAAAUGCUCCACUCCUUUUAUCAAUUUUGUAACUCGUCUCUACACUUUUUCUAGUGCCAUGAUAUCUUUGUUUAGAACAGGUGCACAAAAUUGCACAGCAUAUUCAAGGUGUGGUCUUACCAGCGAUUUAUAAAGAGGCAAAAUUAUAUUUUCAUCCCGAGAAUUUAUGCCCCUAUGAUGAUUCACAAUGCACUGGAACUGAAUGGGUUGUAAGUCCUUUUUUAAUAUUGUUGAUAUGCUCCAUAAUUCUAAUUUUUAAAGGACUUUUUGUAUGACCUAUAUACUGCUUACUGCACAGACACUGAAGUAGAUAAGCCACAGAGUCCGUGCGGCAACCAAUCCUGGUGUGAAUGGAGAACUCCUCUCCCGUAGUAGGUAGAAGCACCCCUCAUGUAUGUAGUUAAACACACCUUACAACUUCGACAUCCUUCAAAUCCCUUCUGUGUUAUAGUCAUUUGAUCUGAUUUUUUUGCUCUAAUAUAGCUGGGUGCUUACAUAGUUUUAAAAUUCUGAUUUUUUUUCUAUGUCAUAAGUGGUUGUCGAGGUAACAUAUUCCCCAAUAUAGGGUCAUUCAAAAGUAUAGACCAAUAUUUUCCUAUGGUUCUUUUAAUUUCCCUAUGGUGAGUGAGUGUUAUACUUGGUAUUAAAGGCACAUUUAAAAGGUUUGCCCUCUUUUUUUCCGAUUAGUAUUAAUAAGAAGUUGGCCUCUAUCUGUGUUAGACAUGACUCUAAUUUCUUUUUCUAUACUGUUUUUCUUAUAUCCACGUUGUAUCAGUUUCUGUUUGAUAAGAUUUGCCUUAUUUUUAAAAUCUUCCGUUUUGGAACAAUUGCGUCUAACUCUAGUUAGUUGGCUUUUUGCUAUGCCCCUCAACCAUGGUUGGUGAUGGCAGCUGGUUCUAUGGAUAUAGCUAUUACCUUCUGUGGGUUUAAAAUAACAUUUUGUUUUUAUGUCAUAUCCUUCAUAAAAAAGGGUAAUAUAUAGAAAAUUAAUAUACUCUUUAUUCCACAUUGGGGUAAAUUUCGGUUAAAAUGAUUCAUAUUUAGAUAUUGCACAAAUUCUCCAAAGGAUGAUUCGUUCCCCUUCCAAAUAAUGAAAACAUCAUCUAUAUAUCGCCACCAGAGCACCAGUGAGGCCCUCCAGUCAUGACCAUUUGCUUGCCCAGGGUCCAAUCAAAGAAAGCCCUGAGACACUCUAGAGCCCUAAAACACUUUAGUUUGCUGAAAUGCUAUUUUUUACUUUGCAAAAAGUGCAGAUUUCAAAUUUGAAAUUGACACUUUUAGAAAUUAACCUGGUUACACCCCUUGGCUUUCAAGCAGACAACAGGUUAUGUUAAACAAACAAAAUUACAAAGGCAGGCACACUAUACAAGUUAAACCACAAAAUAUAUUUGAAAAAACAAGUCAUGUAUCCCCAUUGGACCAUUAAAAAUUGUGCAUUCAAUUCAGAAUGGGGAGUACAACUAGUAAAAAUAAAUCAACUUUAUUAUAUUGUGGCGGACCUGGCAUCAGUCCCUGGGGUUGGCCGAACCCAUAUUGAGUUCUUGCAAACAGAUCAGUUCGCAAGAACCUGUGUGGCGGACCUGGCAUCAGUCCCUGGGAUUGCCCGAACCCAUAUUGAGUUCCUGCAAACAGAUCUGUGACACCUGUUUGGGAACUGAACAGAACUUGUGUGGUCCCCCCCAUUUAUUGACUAAGAACACCGACCACCCCUGGCUGUUAACCGCAGUUAAGGAGUAACUUAAGUGCUUUCCCUGGGUGGCCACCGUUCGUAUACCCGAACGCACUUGUUUCAGGGCACAGAGGCCAUUUUGUUUCCCGAACACAGGCAGCGCUACUUGGUCGUCUAGUGCGUGGAACUAAUUUUUGUGAACCCCAGUCAAGACGGUACUGCUGCCUGUAUACUUUCCCGACCAACUACAUGAACCACAUUCAGGAUCUACCGACUGGAGGGAGCAUUUGCUACCUAAGAGCCAGGGGGAGUGUUCAUCAGUGUUUUUACAGGAACUACCGAACAAAGACUGGAUUCUCUGGAACUCUUUUGGGGCAUCACCUCUUGGCCGGCCGGUGAAAUCUUCUCCCGAAUAGCGAUCCCGUUCCAUCAAACCAAUCUGAGUGCUUUUUGGAUAUGUUGCGUGCUCAGAUUUAGGCUGUUCGGAGAUAUAAGAAUUGUGGGUUUCCUGUAAUGUUUUACUAUGUUUUUGGAAUGUUUUAUAAUAUUUUAUGUAUUUCAUGUAACUGAGAGAUAAUUGAGUUAUCUAAAUUCCCAGCUCACUUAUCUCUCAGGCCCAGAGCCUCUUGGGAAAAUUCCUUGUAAACGUGCUCUGGAGACUCCAUGCUAUGGAGUGCAUAAAAAGCUGUGUGUGGGCUAAUAAAAAUCAGUUCACUUCCAGAACUGUGUGUCGUCCAGUUACUGGGGGAAUGGGCUAUAUUCAGUGACCAGCCCUUCCCUUCUAGCUCCAAAGGAUUACAGCAGAGAUAUUCAUUCUCAGCAUUGCAUAUCAGCUACAUAUAUAAACCAAAAUUACAUGGUAGUGGUACCCGUAAACAACAUCAUAAACAAAAAUGACAAUUUAGUGUUAUCUGUACAUCACAGAAAGAACAUGUACAUAAAUAAAAUAUAUCAGUAGAAGGAUUACAAAGUAAAACAAAAAAAAUACGAUAUAACAAAUGGGAAACUACAAAAUAUAUACCAUGAAUAAACAGAAAACCAAAAGAGUUGUGAGAAAAGGUUAAUAUCCAAGGAAAUAACCCCAAUGUUUCAGCGGAACCACUUUGUGGUUUGGUUAACUCAGUUGAGCUAAACUCAAGUGGCAGCAAUUGACCAGAGCACCUGCUUUGCAAACAGUUCUAAUUGAGCUGCCUUGGAAACUGUGUGAUUGGACAGUCACAGAAAGUAUGGGUGGGUGUGACGGACCGCCUGGCACCCCAACCGCGUACCUCCGUCAAUUGCUGCUUACUAGUAAUCCUUGAGUACCAUAAGCACCACACCUGACACCAUAACCACCAUAGACCCCACAAACCGCCGCAGUUUGGUUGGGGUCUCACUGUCCUCCACCCACCGAGGGCCCAAGACCAGGAUCAGGAAUUUCCUGGAAGUCUGAUUUUUGACCGACCGUGCACAUGGUCCUAUGCCCAAACCAGGGAAUCAGGGCUAAUGGUCGGUCUCUCUGCCUGGAGUACAAAAGUUCAUACAGAGCGUGAACAAAGCUUUUUCAAGUGCAUUGGGCAAGGUAUAUUGCAGGGCCCAUAGUCCUGAGGCAAGAGGCUGGCUAGUAGGCCCCUCCAAGAACCCAUGACGAGGUUUCAGUUCGUCACAACGGGGUUAGAAGUGGAAGACUUGUAAUAGUUGCAGACAUGAGAUCUGCAUAUUUUACAAGCGGUAUAUAGAUAUAACCAAUAUGGAAAAUGCAUAAUUAAAUGCAUGCACGCAUGGCCGUCUAUAAUAUGAAUAGGACCCUGAGCAAAGCAUUUUCUUGGGCCCCCUGGGCUCUGCCCCUCCCCCCCAAUUACUACCAACCCCCAAUCACACUCUUCACUCCAAUGCCGUGGGGGAACUAAAGUUGAGAGAUUCAAAACAUAUUUACACAGCCAUAUACACUGACAAAUAUAUACUGGCAGUCAAAUUGACACACAUUCAGAUAUACUGACACACAUACACACGCACACACACACAGACAUACUGACACACACAGACACAUACACUGACAGAUAUACUGACACACACACAUACAUAUACUAACAGAAAUACUGAAACACACACGGACACAUACACUGACAGACGUAUUGACACACACACUGACACACACACACAGACAUGCUGACAGACACACUGACACACACACAGACUGACAUACUGACACACACACAGGCAUACUAGCAUACACAGAUACACUGACACACACACACACACAGGCAUACUGACAUACACAGACACACAUAGGCAUACUGACACACACAGACAUACUGACACAUACACACAGACAUACUGACAUACACAGACACACUGACACACACACACAGGCAUAUUGACAUACACAAACACACACAGACAUACUGACACACACACUACAUUUAGCCACUCUCCAGGUUCUUACCUUUUCUGGAGGGUGGUUUCCCUGGGGUCCAGUGGCAGGCUGUGGCAGUUGGGAGUUAUCUUCUAGAACUCCCCUCCUCCCUGCCUUCCUCCUACCACGUGGCUCUGAUCUCUGGUGGGAGGAAGUGACAUGCGGCACUCACUUCCUCCCAGCCGGCUGCCGAACAGGGGUCCGAUCGCGCUGUUUAAGCGUCACAGCGCCCGACCGAGCACCUGCUGACACAUGCUCAAGGGGCCUCCUUUGUGUGCGGGCCGGUGGGCUCUGUGCAGCUGCACCUCUGGGUCCAUGGGGGCUGCGCAAAUCGCGGGGCCCGUGGGGCAGCUGCUUUGGGGCCCCCCAGGAGCAACUGCCCCGUAUUAAAGACAGCCCUGCAUGCACAUUUUCAUUUGGGGUAUAUCUACUAAAAAAGGUGAUUUUUAUUUAUUUUGUAUUUGGCAAGUGGAGUGUUCCUUUUAGGCAAGCUCUACUGCAGUUACUGGGCAUGCAUGAGAUCCAAUUCGCAUAGGGGAUUAUAAGUAAGGGCAGAAGAAGGCAGUGAUCAAACGUCAGGCAGUGAAUAUAGAAUGCAGUGAUCAAACGACUGAUAGGUUACUGAAGAUGGCACAGCAAAACCAUAGAUAAAGAGCUUUAACAAGGUAACAUGGGGGAUCAGUGACUAAAAAUUGUGGGGACAAUGAGUAGAAAGAGUCAAUGGUGGACAAUAAAAUGUUUUUUAAAAAAUAAGAAAAACCCACACAUGCCCAUAACAGAGGUGCUUUAGUACCAGCAGUGUUGUCGAACAUAAAAAGUGUAAUACUCAUCUUCUUUCCUUGAUGAUUGCCUCCUAAAAUUAUUGUUGCGAUUACAAUCAUUUGUGAGGGUUGUGACAGCAGUAACAGAUGCACUGUGCCGAUCAUUGCAGUCCAAAUAUGGAUACAAUUUAUAUUUAAAGACUAAUGAUUGAAUAAAAAAAAUAUUUUAGGGUAUGAAACCUGCGUGGUUGAAAGAAAAAACUGCAAAUGCUUGUUUUGAAUAUAGUCUGUCUAUGAAUAUAGAUUUUUUUUGUUACACUGUCUGUAUUACUGAUGGUUUAAUAUUGUUUCCCCAAUAAUCUGCAAUUUGAAAACGUACUCACCCUGCAGAAGUAUUUCUGUAAUUGUAACUAACACACAUUUUUUUUAACUGUAGCAUUCUUUAACUAUUUACCUCCCUUGACCGCACUGGUCCAUUUAAUUGCUUCUAACUUGUUUUUUCUUUUGCAGACACACCAAAACAAUCAUUGGACUGCUGCGUAUGUUUGCAGAGGGUUAAUGCACACGGAAUUAUUUAAUUAACCCUUGAUGACUAAUGACUUGCCAGAACUGUCAUUAUACAAAUAGAUUUGCCUAACGCUUUGUCACAAAGGAAUUCUUUCUUAAACGCCCUAAUAAAUUCUCAUUGUCAACUCUACUGUUGUCUGUUGAGUGACUUUUCCAAAUU